rnacentral:rRNA from 1 species
AUCUGGCUCAGAACGAACGCUGGCGGCGUGCCUAACACAUGCAAGUCGAACGGGAUUAGGGGGGCUUGCUCCUUAAUCUAGUGGCGCACGGGUGAGUAACGCGUGGAUAACCUACCCUGGUAUCCGGGAUAACAUCUCGAAAGGGGUGCUAAUACGGGAUAAGCCCACGGGGUCUUCGGACCCUGCGGGAAAAGGUGGCCUCUAUAUAUAAGCUACUGUAUCAGGAUGGGUCCGCGUACCAUUAGCUAGUUGGUGGGGUAAAGGCCCACCAAGGCGACGAUGGUUAGCUGGUCUGAGAGGAUGAUCAGCCACACUGGAACUGAGACACGGUCCAGACUCCUACGGGAGGCAGCAGUGGGGAAUUUUGCGCAAUGGGGGAAACCCUGACGCAGCAACGCCGCGUGAGUGAUGAAGGCCUUCGGGUCGUAAAGCUCUGUCAGAGGGAAAGAAAUGUGGGAGGGUUAAUACCCCUUUCACUUGACGGUACCCUCAAAGGAAGCACCGGCUAACUCCGUGCCAGCAGCCGCGGUAA